AGCGAACGCUGGCGGCAGGCCUAACACAUGCAAGUCGAACGAACUCUUCGGAGUUAGUGGCGGACGGGUGAGUAACACGUGGGAACGUGCCUUUUGGUUCGGAAUAACUCAGGGAAACUUGUGCUAAUACCGAAUGUGCCCUUCGGGGGAAAGAUUUAUCGCCAUUAGAGCGGCCCGCGUCUGAUUAGCUAGUUGGUGAGGUAACGGCUCACCAAGGCGACGAUCAGUAGCUGGUCUGAGAGGAUGACCAGCCACACUGGGACUGGGACACGGCCCAGACGCCACCCGGAGGGAGGGGAGGGGGGGAGUUUAGAGCGGGAGGGAGAAGGCUGGAACAACCCCGGGCGCGGGAAGAAGGCAAGUGGGGUGUAGAAAAAUUUUUUUUGCGAGGGGGCGAAAGUGACGGUACCGGGAAAAGAAGCCCCGGCUAACUUCGUG
rnacentral:rRNA from 1 species